rnacentral:tRNA from 8 species
CGGAGCAUAGCGCAGUUUGGCUAGCGCGGCAGCUUUGGGAGCUGUAGGUCGGGGGUUCGAAUCCCUCUGCUCCGA